CCUACGGGAGGCAGCAGUGGGGAAUAUUGGACAAUGGGCGCAAGCCUGAUCCAGCCAUACCGCGUGUGUGAAGAAGGCCUUUUGGUUGUAAAGCACUUUAAGCGAGGAGGAGGCUCUUGAGGAUAAUACCCUUGAUGAGUGGACGUUACUCGCAGAAUAAGCACCGGCUAACUCUGUGCCAGCAGCCGCGGUAAUACAGAGGGUGCGAGCGUUAAUCGGAAUUACUGGGCGUAAAGCGCGCGUAGGCGGCUUGUUAAGUCGGAUGUGAAAUCCCCGGGCUCAACCUGGGCACUGCAUUCGAUACUGGCAAGCUAGAGUAUGGGAGAGGAAGGUAGAAUUCCAGGUGUAGCGGUGAAAUGCGUAGAGAUCUGGAGGAAUACCGAUGGCGAAGGCAGCCUUCUGGCCUAAUACUGACGCUGAGGUGCGAAAGCAUGGGGAGCAAACAGGAUUAGAUACCCUGGUAGUCCAUGCCGUAAACGAUGUCAACUAGCCGUUGGGGACCUUGAGUCUUUAGUGGCGCAGCUAACGCGAUAAGUUGACCGCCUGGGGAGUACGGUCGCAAGACUAAAACGUCAAAGGAAUUGACGG
rnacentral:rRNA from 1 species